UACGUAGGGGGCAAGCGUUGUCCGGAUUUAUUGGGCGUAAAGCGCGCGUAGGCGGUUUGGUAGGUCCGAUGUGAAAACUCGAGGCUCAACCUCGAGACGCCGGUGGAAACCAUCAGGCUAGAGUCCGGAAGAGGAGAGUGGAAUUCCUGGUGUAGCGGUGAAAUGCGCAGAUAUCAGGAAGAACACCCGUGGCUAAGGCGGCUCUCUAGUACGGUACUGACGCUGAGACGCGAAAGCGUGGGGAGCGAACAGG
rnacentral:rRNA from 1 species